GCUGGGUGUGGUGGUGCACGCCUUUAAUCCCAGCACUCGGGAGGCAGAGGCAGGUGGAUUUCUGAGCUCGAGGCCAGCCUGGUCUACAGAGUGAGUUCCAGGACAGCCAGGACUAUACAGAGAAACCCUGUCUCAAAAAACAAAAAAAACAAAAAACAAAAAACAAAAAAAGUGUUUUUGAGACACAGUUUCUAUGUGUAGUUAUCCCUGGCUGUCCUGAAACUUGCUCUGUAGACCAGGCUGGUCUCAAACUCAAAGAUCCACCUGC
rnacentral:lncRNA from 1 species